rnacentral:rRNA from 1 species
GACAGAGGGUGCAAACGUUGUUCGGAAUUACUGGGCGUAAAGCGUGUGUAGGUGGCUGCGAAAGUCGGAUGUGAAAGCCCUGGGCUCAACUCAGGAAGUGCACCCGAUACUGCGUAGCUCGAGUACCGGAGAGGUUGGUAGAAUUCUCGGUGUAGAGGUGAAAUUCGUAGAUAUCGAGAGGAAUACCUGUGGCGAAGGCGGCCAACUGGACGAGUACUGACACUGAGACACGAAAGCGUGGGGAGCAAACAGG